rnacentral:rRNA from 1 species
UAACGCGUAGGUAACCUGCCUUGUAGCGGGGGAUAACUAUUGGAAACGAUAGCUAAUACCGCAUAACAAUGGAUGACUCAUGUCAUUUAUUUGAAAGGGGCAAAUGCUCCACUACAAGAUGGACCUGCGUUGUAUUAGCUAGUAGGUGAGGUAACGGCUCACCUAGGCGACGAUACAUAGCCGACCUGAGAGGGUGAUCGGCCACACUGGGACUGAGACACGGCCCAGACUCCUACGGGAGGCAGCAGUAGGGAAUCUUCGGCAAUGGGGGCAACCCUGACCGAGCAACGCCGCGUGAGUGAAGAAGGUUUUCGGAUCGUAAAGCUCUGUUGUAAGUCAAGAACGAGUGUGAGAGUGGAAAGUUCACACUGUGACGGUAGCUUACCAGAAAGGGACGGCUAACUACGUGCCAGCAGCCGCGGUAAUACGUAGGUCCCGAGCGUUGUCCGGAUUUAUUGGGCGUAAAGCGAGCGCAGGCGGUUUGAUAAGUCUGAAGUUAAAGGCUGUGGCUCAACCAUAGUUCGCUUUGGAAACUGUCAAACUUGAGUGCAGAAGGGGAGAGUGGAAUUCCAUGUGUAGCGGUGAAAUGCGUAGAUAUAUGGAGGAACACCGGUGGCGAAAGCGGCUCUCUGGUCUGUAACUGACGCUGAGGCUCGAAAGCGUGGGAAGCGAACAGGAUUAGAUACCCUGGUAGUCCACGCCGUAAACGAUGAGUGCUAGGUGU